rnacentral:rRNA from 1 species
CACUACAGCCAUGCUAACCUAAACACACUGGAUCACAUCUGAUCUCAGAAACUAAGCAUGGUCAGGCCUGGCUAGUACAUGGAUGGGAUAAGUUGCUAUGAUUA